rnacentral:rRNA from 1 species
GACGAACGCUGGCGGCGUGCUUAACACAUGCAAGUCGAACGGAAAGGCACUGCUCUUGUGGUGUGCCCGCGUGCCGAACGGGUGCGCAACACGAGAGUAUCCCGCCCCUGACAUUGGGAUACCUUCACGAAACUGGGGCUCAUACCGCAUAGGAGCUCCUGCUGCACGGUGGGCGUUGGAAAACUUCGGCGGUGCGGGAUGGACUCGCGGCUUAUCAGCUUGUUAGUGGGGUAGUGGCUUACCAAGGCUUUGACGGGUAGCCGGCCUGAGAGGGUGGACCGCCACAUGGGGACUGAGGUAGGGCCCAGACUGCUACGGGCCGCAGCAGGGGAGAAUAUUGCACAGGGGGCGGGAGCCAGAGGCAGCAGCGCCGCGUGCUGGAUGACGGCUUUCGGGUUGUGAACCGCUUUCGCCUGUGACUCAGCGAGAGUGACGGUAAUGGGUAAGGAAGCACCGGCUAACUACGUG